rnacentral:lncRNA from 1 species
UACAGCUGUGCCGCGGGGACAAGAACUCAGAGUCGCUCCGAUCCGUUCAGCCUUGCAGGUGGAGGCGGAGUCUGAAGGUGGGCGUGUCCCAGUUGUGUUGAAGGUUUUAGGAUUCUUCCUGCUGGAGGAAACCAAAGAAGGUUGUUUCUAAACCAUUGAUUAAUGGAAGAUGAUGGAUUGAGAGAUUUAUGAUGACAGCAGACAAACCAACCUGAAUACUCUGAUUACUCUUUUCUCCAUUAACUGUAACCUCAUGGCAGUAGACUCCGUUGAAGGUGUCCUCUUCCUCUGCAUCUUUCAGCGUUUACUCUUUAUUGUGAUAUCCAGUCGAACAGACAAAGAGCUGGAGGAGUUCAGUCAGACGUUUCCUCUUUGCUGAACGAGAGUGAAAGUUCUGAAACCGGAUGUUCUGCAGGAGAAACGUCUUACGUGAUCCUGGGUGUGGUGAGCGCCGUCCUGCUGGUGGUCGUCGCUUUCAUCGCUCUCUUCUUUAUCAUUAAAAGGAGGCGAUCAGCUGUGGGGCGGAGCGCUGAGGGAAGACAGCGCGGUGACGUGGUUCUGCCGUCCGGACCUGGAGCAGAUCAGAGGACAGACCGGUACACGGAGGACGUCAGCUACGCCGCCGUUCACUUCAAACAAAACAAACCCAGCAGGUAGGAGACGCAGACUCUUUAGUCUGUGAAACCGCAGUGAACGUUCAUGAUGUUCACGUGACCACCGUGGUCCUCUGGUGUCAGGACAGUUUGACGUUCAUCUGAACAGCUCUGAGCUCACUGCAGAUGCAGAAUGACCGAUAAGACGAGCCUCUUUCCUCUUUCAGAGAGCUGCAGCCGCAGGCAGACGAUGUGGUCUACUCUGCGGUGGUCACUCGAGGUUGAAGACCUUCAGGAUCCAGACAGCAGCACAGGAAGACGCCGCUGUGUCAAAAUCUAAAAAGUUCCAUCAAAAAUAACCUUCCUUUUUUAUUAGCUCUUAUCUCGUCUCCACUGUCCCUCUCAAAACUGUGUAAAUAUCUAUAAAUUAUUGUAUUUUUCAAAGGAUUUUACAUGUUUUUCCUUAUUUAAAACAUUUUUGUGCAUUUGUUCUUGAAUGUGAUGUUUUUGUUUAACGUUCUACAAAAAAAAUCAAUAAAAAGGUUUAUUCUGUUUUCUGUCACAGCUGGAAGAAUUUAUUCAAGUCCAUUUAUCAUGAAACUGUAUAUUUUCAGCUACAGUUGAUGAUAUUUAUUGUGAUUUGUUUCUUGGGCUCCGUUUGUUCUGAGGACGCUCAUCAUUUCUGCAGAGAAAGGAAGUCUCUGCAUCAGCAGUAAAAGGUUUCUGUCAUCAAAUGUCCAACAAUCUGAACAGUUUUUGGUUUG